rnacentral:rRNA from 1 species
GGUCCUAAGGUAGCGAAAUUCCUUGUCGGGUAAGUUCCGACCUGCACGAAUGGCGUAAUGAUGGCCAGGCUGUCUCCACCCGAGACUCAGUGAAAUUGAACUCGCUGUGAAGAUGCAGUGUACCCGCGGCAAGACGGAAAGACCCCGUGAACCUUUACUAUAGCUUGACACUGAACAUUGAGCCUUGAUGUGUAGGAUAGGUGGGAGGCUUUGAAGUGUGGACGCCAGUCUGCAUGGAGCCGACCUUGAAAUACCACCCUUUAAUGUUUGAUGUUCUAACGUGGACCCGUAAUCCGGGUUGCGGACAGUGUCUGGUGGGUAGUUUGACUGGGGCGGUCUCCUCCUAAAGAGUAACGGAGGAGCACGAAGGUUGGCUAAUCCUGGUCGGACAUCAGGAGGUUAGUGCAAUGGCAUAAGCCAGCUUGACUGCGAGCGUGACGGCGCGAGCAGGUGCGAAAGCAGGUCAUAGUGAUCCGGUGGUUCUGAAUGGAAGGGCCAUCGCUCAACGGAUAAAAGGUACUCCGGGGAUAACAGGCUGAUACCGCCCAAGAGUUCAUAUCGACGGCGGUGUUUGGCACCUCGAUGUCGGCUCAUCACAUCCUGGGGCUGAAGUAGGUCCCAAGGGUAUGGCUGUUCGCCAUUUAAAGUGGUACGCGAGCUGGGUUUAGAACGUCGUGAGACAGUUCGGUCCCUAUCUGCCGUGGGCGCUGGAGAACUGAGGGGGGCUGCUCCUAGUACGAGAGGACCGGAGUGGACGCAUCACUGGUGUUCGGGUUGUCAUGCCAAUGGCACUGCCCGGUAGCUAAAUGCGGAAGAGAUAAGUGCUGAAAGCAUCUAAGCACGAAACUUGCCCCGA